rnacentral:ncRNA from 1 species
UAUUGAGCGUUGAUAGGAGCAAUAGUAGAAAAGGUUUCCCUGUUUCAGAGAGCUGACGGUCGGUGCGAGUCAGAACACAAACCCUUCGAAGUACAUUCCUUGAGCAUCUUUUCUGAGUAGGAAAAGACGGCAUAGCCGUUAUCGUAAUGAAGAGGCAAGCAAAUGCUUGCAACUAGGGUGGUACCGCGAUUAAUUCGUCCCUACU